rnacentral:lncRNA from 1 species
GAUAACCUACGACACAUGUAACCUAACCAUCACAUAAUCUCUCUCAUACGCCGGAACAUCCAAAGCCACGUAUGAGGUCUGUCCUCACGCCGGAUAACCUACGCCACGUGAGACCUAACAAUCACAAAAUCUCCCCGUAUGCCGGAACAUCCGGCGCCACGUAUGGGGUCAGUCAACACGCCGGAUAACCUAUGCCACGUAUGACCUAACCAUCACAUAAUCUC